UACGAAGGGGGCUAGCGUUGCUCGGAAUUACUGGGCGUAAAGGGAGCGUAGGCGGACAUUUAAGUCAGGGGUGAAAUCCCAGAGCUCAACUCUGGAACUGCCUUUGAUACUGGAUGUCUUGAGUGUGAGAGAGGUAUGUGGGACUCCGAGUGUAGAGGUGAAAUUCGUAGAUAUUCGGAAGAACACCAGUGGCGAAGGCGACAUACUGGCUCAUUACUGACGCUGAGGCUCGAAAGCGUGGGGAGCAAACAGG
rnacentral:rRNA from 1 species